AUGAGUCUUCACAUGUGUGUCCCUUUCAGAUUAGGAAAAAAUCUUUUCAGGACUUAUUUGUGUUAUUUUUUAUUUUAUUUUAUUUUAUUUUCUCUGUGAAUACAUAGAAAAAUUCCAUAAAUCUAAAAAUCUGAAAAAAUAUUUAUAGUAAACAUUGCUAUUAUCAGAUUUGGCAAAAAUCAAGAGCAUGAAAGAAGGUGGUAAUCUUUUUGUUGUUGAUAUUGCUGAUGACACUUCCCUGUGUUGCCUAGGCUUCCAGCUCGUUGAUUCAAGGGGUUCUCCCACUUUAGCCUUCUGAGUCCUGGGAGUUUAGGCAGGCAACACCAUGACAGGCUCCCCUUAACUCUGUUAUUUUUAGCUUUUAGUACUUUUUCAUGUCC